GAUGAACGCUGGCGGCGUGCCUAAUACAUGCAAGUCGAGCGAACGGACGAGAAGCUUGCUUCUCUGAUGUUAGCGGCGGACGGGUGAGUAACACGUGGAUAACCUACCUAUAAGACUGGGAUAACUUCGGGAAACCGGAGCUAAUACCGGAUAAUAUUUUGAACCGCAUGGUUCAAAAGUGAAAGACGGUCUUGCUGUCACUUAUAGAUGGAUCCGCGCUGCAUUAGCUAGUUGGUAAGGUAACGGCUUACCAAGGCAACGAUGCAUAGCCGACCUGAGAGGGGGGUCGGCCCCCCUGGAACUGAGGCCCGGUCCCGCGCUCCUCGGGGGGGCGCCGGAGGGAAUCUUUCGCAAUGGGCGAAAGCCCGGCGGGGCAACGCCGGCGUAGGUAUGAAGGGCUUUCGAUCCUUAAACCCUGUUUUUAGGGAAGAACAUAUGUGUAAGUAACUGUGCACAUCUUGACGGUACCUAAUCAGAAAGCCACGGCUAACUACGUG
rnacentral:rRNA from 1 species